ensembl:lncRNA
GGCAGAGAGUAUCGGCGGCAUCAGGUGCAGCCGGGUAAGGCAGGCCCGGCCCCCGGCUGUCGCCUGCGCGCUGAGCGGCCGGGCCGGGCCCGCCCCUCGGUGUGUGAGGAGGAGCGGGUUUCGCCGGGGAUUUCCAGCCUGAGCGGGCGGGAGAGGAAGUGUGGGGCGGGGGGAGACGGCGCAGAGCGGCAGGGACUUUCCGUCGGGCUGGCGGUCGCCUUCGCCGGGCUCCAGCUGCUGCCGCCCCGCCGCCGCCGCACGCACGCUCGCUCGCUCGCAGAUGAACCUAUGACUGACUCAUAAUCUGAGAACUGCAGUGGCUUGUAAAAUAGGAAGUGAUGAAGUGGUGACAUAGAAACCACAGCAACAAAGGGCUGGCAAAGAGAAUGUAACUGGUCUCCCAGCUCUGCCUGCUGGAAGCCCACCCUGUAACAAGAGAAAAAGAGAAGGGAUAGAGAAUUCGGAGGAAAGAGGUGGCAGCUUGCAAUGAUUAGGUGUCUGCAGAGUAGGAAGUAGGAAGAGGUGCUCUCUUGUCUGUGCUAAUAGGAGUGAAAAUAGAGACCCCCUACCCCCCCUCCAAAAAGAG